rnacentral:tRNA from 3 species
GCCCCGGUGGUGGAAUUGGUAGACGCGGCGGACUCAAAAUCCGCUUCUGGCAACAGAGUGCCGGUUCAAGUCCGGCCCGGGGCACCA